rnacentral:rRNA from 1 species
ACGGGUGAGUAAUACAUCGGAACGUAUCCUGGAGUGGGGGAUAGCCCGGCGAAAGCCGGAUUAAUACCGCAUACGCUCUGAGGAGGAAAGCGGGGGACCUUCGGGCCUCGCGCUCAAGGGGCGGCCGAUGGCGGAUUAGGUAGUUGGUGGGGUAAAGGCCUACCAAGCCGACGAUCCGUAGCUGGUCUGAGAGGACGACCAGCCACACUGGGACUGAGACACGGCCCAGACUCCUACGGGAGGCAGCAGUGGGGAAUUUUGGACAAUGGGGGCAACCCUGAUCCAGCAAUGCCGCGUGUGUGAAGAAGGCCUUCGGGUUGUAAAGCACUUUUGUCCGGAAAGAAAUCAUCGGGGCCAAUACCCCUGGUGGAUGACGGUACCGGACGAAUAAGCACCGGCUAACUACGUGCCAGCAGCCGCGGUAAUACGUAGGGUGCGAGCGUUAAUCGGAAUUACUGGGCGUAAAGCGUGCGCAGGCGGUGCUGUAAGACCGAUGUGAAAUCCCCGGGCUUAACCUGGGAACUGCAUUGGUGACUGCAGCGCUGGAGUAUGGCAGAGGGGGGUGGAAUUCCACGU